rnacentral:rRNA from 1 species
UCCGUAGACGGAUUGAUAAGUCAGAGGUGAAAUCCCACAGCUUAACUGUGGAACUGCCUUUGAUACUGUUAGUCUUGAGUUAUAUGGAAGUAGAUAGAAUGUGUAGUGUAGCGGUGAAAUGCAUAGAUAUUACACAGAAUACCGAUUGCGAAGGCAGUCUACUACGUAUAUACUGACGCUAAUGGACGAAAGCGUGGGGAGCGAACAGGAUUAGAUACCCUGGUAGUC